CCUACGGGGUGCAGCAGUGGGGAAUAUUGGACAAUGGGCGAAAGCCUGAUCCAGCCAUGCCGCGUGUGUGAAGAAGGCCUUCGGGUUGUAAAGCACUUUCAGUGGGGAAGAAAGCCUUGGGGCUAAUACCCUCGAGGAAGGACAUCACCCACAGAAGAAGCACCGGCUAACUCCGUGCCAGCAGCCGCGGUAAUACGGAGGGUGCGAGCGUUAAUCGGAAUUACUGGGCGUAAAGCGCGCGUAGGCGGUCUGAUAAGCCGGUUGUGAAAGCCCCGGGCUCAACCUGGGAACGGCAUCCGGAACUGGCAGGCUAGAGGGCAGGAGAGGAAGGUAGAAUUCCCGGUGUAGCGGUGAAAUGCGUAGAGAUCGGGAGGAAUACCAGUGGCGAAGGCGGCCUUCUGGACUGACACUGACGCUGAGGUGCGAAAGCGUGGGUAGCAAACAGGAUUAGAUACCCGUGUAGUC
rnacentral:rRNA from 1 species